UUUUUGUGAACUUCCAUCCUGGACCUCAGCUCAGGCGUGACUACCCGCUGAAUUUAAGCAUAUCAAUAAGCGGAGGAAAAGAAACUAACCAGG
rnacentral:rRNA from 1 species